CCUACGGGAGGCAGCAGUGAGGAAUAUUGGUCAAUGGCCGCAGGGCUGAACCAGCCAAGUCGCGUGAGGGAUGACGGUCCUAUGGAUUGUAAACCUCUUUUGUCAGGGAGCAAAGGGCGCCACGUGUGGCGCUUUGCGAGUACCUGACGAACAAGCAUCGGCUAACUCCGUGCCAGCAGCCGCGGUAAUACGGAGGAUGCGAGCGUUAUCCGGAUUUAUUGGGUUUAAAGGGUGCGCAGGCGGAAUGUCAAGUCAGCGGUAAAAUUUCGGGGCUCAACCCCGUCGUGCCGUUGAAACUGGCGUUCUUGAGUGAGCGAGAAGUAUGCGGAAUGCGUGGUGUAGCGGUGAAAUGCAUAGAUAUCACGCAGAACUCCGAUUGCGAAGGCAGCAUACCGGCGCUCAACUGACGCUCAUGCACGAAAGCGUGGGUAUCGAACAGGAUUAGAUACCCGAGUAGUC
rnacentral:rRNA from 1 species